rnacentral:rRNA from 1 species
CCCGACCGCUAUCGGGGUGGGGCUAAGCCAUGCGAGUCGUACGCCUGGGGACCGCCAGGCGUGGCGCACGGCUCAGUAACACGUGCCUAACCUACCCUCGGGAGGGGGACAACCCCGGGAAACUGGGGCCAAUCCCCCAUAGGAGAAGGGUGCUGGAAAGCCCCUUCUCCGAAAGGGACUGCGGCCGAUCCGCCGCAGUCCGCCCGAGGAUGGGGGCACGGCCCAUCAUGGUAGUUGGCGGGGUAAUGGCCCGCCAAGCCGAAGACGGGUGGGGGCCGUGAGAGCGGGAGCCCCGAGAUGGGCACUGAGACAAGGGCCCAGGCCCUACGGGGUGCAGCAGGCGCGAAAACUCCGCAAUGCGGGAAACCGUGACGGGGCCACCCCGAGUGCCGCCCGAAGAGGGCGGCUUUUGCCCGGUGCAAAAAGCCGGGCGAAUAAGCGGGGGGCAAGUCUGGCGUCAGCCGCCGCGGUAAUACCAGCUCCGCGAGUGGUCGGGGUGCUUACUGGGCCUAAAGCGCCCGUAGCCGGCCCGGUAAGUCGUCCCUGAAAUCCACGGGCUCAACCCGUGGGCUGGGGACGAUACUGCCGGGCUUGGGGGCGGGAGAGGCCGAGGGUACUCCCGGGGUAGGGGCGAAAUCCGAUAAUCCCGGGAGGACCACCAGUGGCGAAGACGCUCGGCUGGAACGCGCCCGACGGUGAGGGGCGAAAGCUGGGGGAGCAAAGGGGAUUAGAUACCCCUGUAGUCCCAGCUGUAAACGAUGCGGGCUAGCUGUUGGGCGGGCUUAGAGCCCGCCCAGUGGGUUCCGGUUGAUCCUGCCGGAAGUACACACCGCCCGUUUUCCGGUUGAUCCUGCCGGAA